UACGGGGGGGGCAAGCGUUGUUCGGAAUUACUGGGCGUAAAGGGCUCGUAGGCGGCCAACUAAGUCAGACGUGAAAUCCCUCGGCUCAACCGGGGAACUGCGUCUGAUACUGGGUGGCUUGAAUCCGGGAGAGGGAUGCGGAAUUCCAGGUGUAGCGGUGAAAUGCGUAGAUAUCUGGAGGAACACCGGUGGCGAAGGCGGCAUCCUGGACCGGUAUUGACGCUGAGGCGCGAAAGCCAGGGGAGCAAAAGGG
rnacentral:rRNA from 1 species